UACGUAGGGUGCAAGCGUUGUCCGGAAUUAUUGGGCGUAAAGGGUGCGUAGGCGGGUCUUUAAGUCAGGGGUGAAAUCCUGGAGCUCAACUCCAGAACUGCCUUUGAUACUGAAGAUCUUGAGUUCGGGAGAGGUGAGUGGAACUGCGAGUGUAGAGGUGAAAUUCGUAGAUAUUCGCAAGAACACCAGUGGCGAAGGCGGCUCACUGGCCCGAUACUGACGCUGAGGCACGAAAGCGUGGGGAGCAAACAGG
rnacentral:rRNA from 1 species